ensembl:lncRNA
AACAGCACAUUUCUUUAUGUGGCCAGUUGUCUAUGUUCUGGUUUUAAUUGUAAUUUAUAUUGUUGCACUGUAUUAAUGCGUGCUGUCUCCGGGUCAAGGAAGGAAAGAGGUUCUCAACUGGUGGGUUGUGGGGCCAUUGUCUAAGGGUCACAGAUGUGAGUGCUGUCUUGAUGUUUGCAAACCUUUGGAAAAUAUUUUAUUGAAAAAUAUAUAUUUUUUAAAUAAAAGUGUUGAAUUAAACAAUUGCCUAUUUUUUGUGUCAUGUGUAAUUGUUUCAAUACACAAAAACAUUGAGAACACAUUUAGGCAAUCUAAACUGCAGAAAAUUAUGUAAAAUGUUGUGUAAAUGUUACUUACAUAUAGUCUAUAAAUAAAAGUUAUUUUAGUAUUUAAAAUAACCUUGAAAAGCCAUUGAUUUUUAGGUGAGAUUUUUAGUUUGAAGCAUUUAGAGUCUUGAGUAAAACUUACAAAGAAGGUCAGAGUAAAAUUCAAUGUCCAUAUUAAUAAUAAUCAGUCAAUUACUUGAGGUUUGCUAGUAAAAGUAACUUACAUCCUGCAAGUAAGGUUUACUUGAUGAUCGUCCUUGUAGAAUUUACUUCACUUUCUAAGUGCAAAAACUUCCCUAAGUUUUAUUAAGUAAAUAUACUAACGCUCAAUAACUCAACAUCAUUGUUGUUUAAAUUCAUUGAAGUCAACAAAUAAUGAAGAACAUGAAAUUCUCUUUGGUCAGAAGAAAAGAAAACGGAUUCAUUUGAUUUAUUUUUUAUCAAAAUGUAUUUAUUAUUGUUUAGAUAAUAAUCACAUGACAUUACUUACAUGAUACAAUAACACACAUACAAACAAUUACAAUAAUAACAACACAAUGAUUGGGCGAAAAUCUGAAGCAGUUCCUGAGAAGAAAGAAAAGAAGAAAAGUUAAUGACAUGUUAAUGUUGUUAGUGUGUCUGCGUGUAGAACAACGUGUUAGUGUGUAUUUGUGUAAUUAUAUAUGUUAGUGUGUUUUUGUGUAGAACAAAAUGUUAGUGUGUACAUCUAAAUAUUAAUGAUCUACUGUAUGUGUACAUCGAAAUAUUAAUGAUCUAUGUGUACAUCUAAAUAUCGAUGUGUCUAUGUGUGUCUAAAUAUUUAUGAUCUAAGGCUGACUCCCAGCCGCCGUCCUCCUCUUCUUCAUCAAAUUCACCUUCCAUUUAACAACAGUCAACCAGAUCGUAUGUAUUUUACCUGAGCAGACAGCUAUGUUCUGAAAGUUUAUACUAACCUUCCAGAGAAAAUGUUUGUGUCCACGAGCUUAUGUUAGCCUCGCAGAAUCUAUGUAUGC